GGAGUUGUGCCUGAAUAUUAAGGACCCCUUUGAUAGAGGGAACCAUGGGGGUUUAAGUCCCCCCACCUCCU
rnacentral:tRNA from 1 species